GAACAGCAGAGUGGACAAAACAAGGUGCCAGGGGUUGGAGGGAUGGAGCAGACAGAAGGAGAAAGGUGGAGGGACUCAAUUGCUACAUGAUGGUCAGACUGGGAGAAUUGCUUGCUGAGCUUCAAUUGAGGGCAAACCUCAGUAUAAAAGGUAUCAAGGAAGAGGACAUUCCUUUGCCAUUGAGAUGACAUCACCGGCAUUAACCAAGGAAGUGGAGUAG